rnacentral:rRNA from 1 species
UGACGCUGAGGCUCGAAAGCGCGGGUAUCAAACAGGAUUAGAUACCCUGGUAGUCCGCGCCGUAAACGAUGAGUGCCCCGCUUUUGGCGAUACAAUGUCAGAGGCCAAGCGAAAAGCAUUAAGCACUCCACCUGGGGAGUACGCCGGCAACGGUGAAACUCAAAGGAAUUGACGGGGGCCCGCACAAGCGGAGGAACAUGUGGUUUAAUUCGAUGAUACGCGAGGAACCUUACCCGGGCUUGAAUUGCACAGGAAGGGGAGCAGAGACGCUCCUCGUCUUCGGACCUGUGUGAAGGUGCUGCAUGGUUGUCGUCAGCUCGUGCCGUGAGGUGUCGGCUUAAGUGCCAUAACGAGCGCAACCCUUUCGGGUAGUUGCCAUCAGGUGAUGCUGGGCACUCUGCCCGUACUGCCAUCGCAAGAUGUGAGGAAGGUGGGGAUGACGUCAAAUCAGCACGGCCUUAACGUCCGGGGCUACACACGUGUUACAAUGGGGGGCACAGAGAGCAGCUUACGGGUGACCGUUGGCGAAUCUAUAAAUCCCCUCUCAGUUCGGACUGGAGUCUGCAACCCGACUCCACGAAGCUGGAUUCGCUAGAAUCG